GGAUUCCCUUAGUAACUGCGAGUGAAGUGGGAAAAGCUCAAAUUUAAAAUCUGGCAGUCUGAUUUUUUAUCUUUGGCUGUCCGAGUUGUAAUCUAGAGAAGUGCUACCUGUACUGGACCAUGUAUAAGUCUCCUGGGAUGGAGCAUCAUAGAGGGUGAGAAUCCCGUCUUUGACAUGGACUGCCGGUGUGUUGUGGUGUACUUUCAAAGAGUCGGGUUGUUUGGGAAUGCAGCUCUAAAUGGGUGGUAAACUCCAUCUAAAGCUAAAUAUUGGCGAGAGACCGAUAGCGAACAAGUACCGUGAGGGAAAGAUGAAAAGUACUUUGGAAAGAGAGUUAAACAGUAUGUGAAAUUGUUGAAAGGGAAACACUUGAUGUCAGUUGUGUUAGCC
rnacentral:rRNA from 1 species